UACAGAGGUGGCAAGCGUUGUUCGGAAUUACUGGGCGUAAAGGGCGCGUAGGCGGCACUGUUAGUCAGGCGUGAAAGUCCUGGGCUCAACCUGGGAACUGCGCUUGAUACGGCAGAGCUAGAGGAUGGAAGAGGCUCGCGGAAUUCCCAGUGUAGAGGUGAAAUUCGUAGAUAUUGGGAAGAACACCGGUGGCGAAGGCGGCGAGCUGGUCCAUUACUGACGCUGAGGCGCGACAGCGUGGGGAGCAAACAGG
rnacentral:rRNA from 1 species